UCACUACUCCCUCCGUCCGAAAAUACUUGUCAUCAAAAUGAAUAAAAAGGGAUGUAUCUAGAUGUAUUUUAGUUCUAGAUACAUCUCUUUUUGUCCAUUUUGAUGACAAGUAUUUUCGGACGGAGGGAGUACUUA
rnacentral:pre_miRNA from 1 species